UGGGGAAUUUUGGACAAUGGGCGCAAGCCUGAUCCAGCCAUGCCGCGUGCGGGAAGAAGGCCUUCGGGUUGUAAACCGCUUUUGUCAGGGAAGAAAUCUUCUGAGUUAAUACCUCGGGAGGAUGACGGUACCUGAAGAAUAAGCACCGGCUAACUACGUGCCAGCAGCCGCGGUAAUACGUAGGGUGCAAGCGUUAAUCGGAAUUACUGGGCGUAAAGCGUGCGCAGGCGGUUUUGUAAGACGGAGGUGAAAUCCCCGGGCUCAACCUGGGAACUGCCUUUGUGACUGCAAGGCUUGAGUGCGGCAGAGGGGGGAUGGAAUUCCGCGUGUAGCAGUGAAAUGCGUAGAUAUGCGGAGGAACACCGAUGGCGAAGGCAAUCCCCUGGGCCUGCACUGACGCUCAUGCACGAAAGCGUGGGGAGCAAACAGGAUUAGAUACCCUGGUAGUCCACGCCCUAAACGAUGUCAACUGGUUGUUGGGAAGGUUCCUUCUCAGUAACGUAGCUAACGCGUGAAGUUGACCGCCUGGGGAGUACGGCCGCAAGGUUGAAACUCAAAUGAAUUGACGGGGUCAUAGCUGUUUCCUG
rnacentral:rRNA from 1 species